GACUCAGUGAUCUAAUGUUAAAGCGUUCGCCGCGGAACCAGAGGGUCUUGGGUUCGAUCCCCGACAGGGUCG
rnacentral:tRNA from 1 species